UGGCGGACGGGUGAGUAAUGUCUGGGAAACUGCCUGAUGGAGGGGGAUAACUACUGGAGACGGUAGCUAAUACCGCAUAACGUCGCAAGACCAAAGAGGGGACCUUCGGGCCUCUUGCCAUCGGAUGUGCCCAGAUGGGAUUAGCUAGUAGGUGGGGUAACGGCUCACCUAGGCGACGAUCCCUAGCUGGUCUGAGAGGAUGACCAGCCACACUGGAACUGAGACACGGUCCAGACUCCUACGGGAGGCAGCAUG
rnacentral:rRNA from 1 species